rnacentral:rRNA from 1 species
AUUGAACGCUGGCGGCAUGCCUUACACAUGCAAGUCGAACGGCAGCACGGACUUCGGUCUGGUGGCGAGUGGCGAACGGGUGAGUAAUGCAUCGGAACGUGCCAUUGAGUGGGGGAUAACGUAGCGAAAGUUGCGCUAAUACCGCAUAUUCUGUGAGCAGGAAAGCAGGGGACCGCAAGGCCUUGCGCUCUUUGAGCGGCCGAUGUCAGAUUAGCUAGUUGGUGAGGUAAAGGCUUACCAAGGCGACGAUCUGUAGCGGGUCUGAGAGGAUGAUCCGCCACACUGGAACUGAGACACGGUCCAGACUCCUACGGGAGGCAGCAGUGGGGAAUUUUGGACAAUGGGGGCAACCCUGAUCCAGCCAUGCCGCGUGAGUGAAGAAGGCCU